AACGAACGCUGGCGGCAUGCCUAACACAUGCAAGUCGAACGAGACCUUCGGGUCUAGUGGCGCACGGGUGCGUAACGCGUGGGAACCUGCCCUUAGGUUCGGAAUAACUCCCCGAAAGGGGUGCUAAUACCGGAUAAUGUCUUCGGACCAAAGAUUUAUCGCCUUUGGAUGGGCCCGCGUUGGAUUAGCUAGUUGGUAGGGUAAAAGCCUACCAAGGCGACGAUCCAUAGCUGGUCUGAGAGGAUGAUCAGCCACACUGGGACUGAGACACGGCCCAGACUCCUACGGGAGGCAGCAGUAGGGAAUAUUAGACGAUGGGCGAAAGCCUGAUACAGCAAUGCCGCGUGAGUGAUGAAGGCCUUAGGGUUGUAAAGCUCUUUUACCCGGGAUGAUAAUGACAGUACCGGGAGAAUAAGCGCCGGCUAACUCCGUG
rnacentral:rRNA from 1 species